GAGCUCUAAGGGGAAGAAUUUGAUGGAAAUCCGGCUGUGGGUCUCUGCAUCUGUUCCCAUCUGCUGCCAGAGGAAGCCUUUCUGAUGAUUUCUAAGUCCAUGUGUUACAUAUUCUCUGGUUCUUGUGGGGCAGUGGACUGUGAGAGGAAGCCUGGUAAGGCUGAGCUGGGUUGGAAGCCCCGGGACCCAAAGGCACAGUAGGAGCUUCAUCUGCUCCCUAUACCAGGGCCCUGUCAUGUAGUCAAAGCCUCCUAUAGAGAGAGUUGUGACCAUCAGUCGUGUGGGAACAGCGCCCCCAAGCCCCUCCACAUGUAGAUAAGGUAUCCCUAGGAAGCACCUGCUGUCAGACCCCCAACUCACCCUAAAACUGUAUAUAAGAUCCUAUCCAGAAGGAAUAAAGGUGUGUGAGAAUUA